AUGUUUCAGCAACACAUAUGGCAAGAUUGGAAUGAUACAGAAAAGAUUGGCAUGGCCCCAUGUAAAGAUAACAAACACAUUUGGAAAUCUUUCCAUGCAUGA